GCUGGGCAUGGUGGCGCAUGCCUGUGGUUCCAUCUACUUGGGAGGCUGAGGCAGGAGGAUUGCUUGAGCCCAGGAGUUAGAAGCUGCAGUGAGCCAUGAUUGCACCACUGUACUCCAGCCUGGGCAACAGAGCAAGAUCCUGUCUCAA
rfam:Homo sapiens chromosome 15, GRCh38 reference primary assembly.